GGUGGCUCAGUGGUAGAGCGCUUGCCUAGCAUGCAGGAGGCCCUGGGUUUGAUUUCUCAGUACUA
rnacentral:tRNA from 1 species